GGAUCGUUGGCGCAAUGGUAGCGCGUCGGCUUCCGGCACAGAGAUGUUGAUCUGCCGAAGGCUGGGGGUUCGAGUCCCCUGCGAUUCG